rnacentral:rRNA from 1 species
GACGAACGCUGGCGGCGUGCCUAAUACAUGCAAGUUGAGCGCUGAAGGUUGGUACUUGUACCAACUGGAUGAGCAGCGAACGGGUGAGUAACGCGUGGGGAAUCUGCCUUUGAGCGGGGGACAACAUUUGGAAACGAAUGCUAAUACCGCAUAAAAACUUUAAACACAAGUUUUAAGUUUGAAAGAUGCAAUUGCAUCACUCAAAGAUGAUCUCGCGUUGUCUUAGCUAGUUGGUGAGGUAAAGGCUCACCAAGGCGAUGAUACAUAGCCGACCUGAGAGGGGGGUCGGCCACAAUGGGACUGGGACACGGCCCAAACUCCUACGGGAGGCAGCAGUAGGGGAUCUUCGGCAAUGGAGGGAAGUCUGGCCGAGCAACGCCGCGGGAGUGAAGAAGGUUUUCGGAUCGUAAAACUCUGUUGGUAGGGAAGAAAGUUGGUGGGAGUGAAAAGCUCAUCAAGUGACGGUAACUACCCAGAAAGGGACGGCUAACUACGUG